UGGAUGGGGGUCACCCAAGACUGGUGUAGAGCAUGCACAGUGAAGAAGACAGAGCUCCAAGGAACGCUGCAUUAUCCCCAGGCACUAUCUCACUGAUCCUUUUAACAACUCUGUGAGUUGAGUUUUAUCUUUUCUAUUUUCUUCAGAGUCAAUUGAGUAGACAACCAGAGGCAUUUCCUAGCUCCCAGCCUUGGGAGCCCCCACCCCCCCAACUUGUGUAAUAUCUUGGACAGUGUGUCAAAUCUGCUGACAUGUGGGUCACACAUUUAUUACACGAGGUGCACUUGGUGCGUGGAAGCCUGUGGAGAAAGUUUGAGUACUGUCAUGAGCCUGUUUUUAAUGCUAGAAUUAUGUAAUAUCUCUUAUCCAGGUUAAAAUGAGAAACUCCCCCAUUUUUGUAAUUUUUGACGUAAGGAUAUUUGGGCUGACACUGCACUUUAGACCGAGAGCCAGGAAAGUUAUCAGCAUGGUGGAAGUCAAGCUGUAGAACCCCAGAGAUCAGACACGACAUAAAAAUGGUCUUUUGAUCCAUUAAGGUGAAGAAAAUAAUUAAAUUUCUGCAUGUUCCUUCCAGUAAAAUAAUUAUUCAGGAGAAAAAGUGGUCAGACAAAGAAUCAUUCCACAAGGAGAAAUAUCAUAAAAUGCAAAGUAUUUUCUUAUUACUUUUUUACUACCUUUUUCGUAGGCGUUCACGGGAGGAAAAGGAAAAAAUUUCUACAGAGGCUUAAGAGAACCUUUCCAUGAGGGCUGAUCCCAAAUACCUAAGACAGAAUAGAGGCUUUUGAAAGGAACUUUUAAAAAUAACGGGAUACGCUGAAAAUAAUAUUUAACCCAGUGACUGCGCAUCAAAGUGAGAAGAUUAUAUGCUAGAAUGGCACAUGGCGUGCAUUCCACGGUCCGCAUAGCUGAUUGCCAUGCAGUGCCUUGGGAGCAAGCUCCAUGCUUUCAAUGCCAUUGUAUGAUGAGGAUCCAUCAAAUCUACUCAAGCAGAGGCGUGAUCAGAUCUAUGCUGCUGGAAUAUUCACAGGAGCUGCAGAGGAAACGACGGGAAUAAACGGAAGAGUUGGGGGUAAUGGAGGUAGACAGACCCAGCUAGGAUCUCACCGUUUAUCUGAAGAUUUGAGAACUUACUAAGAUGUAAAAGCAUAUGUAUAAGCUCUGGCUCCUAAUAGAUGACUCAGCAGAAGUUUGUUGAAUUC